AAGAUUUUAAGUUAACUAAAACUAUAUACCUUCAAAGUAUAAUAUAAUCCUAUAAUUAAAUCUUA
rnacentral:tRNA from 1 species